UACGUAGGGCGCAAGCGUUGUCCGGAAUUAUUGGGCGUAAAGAGCUCGUAGGCGGCUUGUCACGUCGGGUGUGAAAGCCCGGGGCUUAACCCCGGGUCUGCAUUCGAUACGGGCUAGCUAGAGUGUGGUAGGGGAGAUCGGAAUUCCUGGUGUAGCGGUGAAAUGCGCAGAUAUCAGGAGGAACACCGGUGGCGAAGGCGGAUCUCUGGCCGAUUACUGACGCUGAGGAGCGAAGCGUGGGGAGCGAACAGG
rnacentral:rRNA from 1 species